rnacentral:tRNA from 1 species
CGGGGCGUAGCGCAGCCUGGUAGCGCACUUGCAUGGGGUGCAAGGGGUCGAGUGUUCGAAUCAUUCCGUCCCGACCA